GAACUGCUCGCCGCCGCCGCCGACUCCCCGCCCCUUGUCGCCGCCGCCGCACUCGCCCCCGCCCCCUGUCGCCGCCCACUCGCCUCGCCCGCGCCCCCUGCCACCCCCACCCGCAUCGACGCCGCCUCAUCCCACCGCACCCGCGUCGCCUGCCGCCUCCCCUCCCUCGCUCCAGCCGGUGGGGGGGUGGUGGGUGUGGUGAGUUGCUCGCGCGCGCAACCAGGGAGAAGAGGGAGUUGGGCGUGGCGGCGGCCGACGGGGGACGAGGCUCUCUGCUACGUGCGCGACAGAGAGGAUUUUUGGUGUUGCCUCCGGUGGAAUGAUAGUUGACGUUGGAGCUCUUGGUCUUCGACUGUCCCUUCGUUGAUCGACUACAUCAUCUACAUCCGAGGGUUGUUCCUCGUUGGUGCUAUGGAAGGCAUGACGGAUGGGCGGGUUUGGUGGAUAGGUGGCUCGGCGACGAUGCAGAGUUUGGUGCCAAGAGCAUCAAGGGCCGGGCUAACCGUGGAAAAGACGGCACACACGGCCAAGGAAACAAGAACCACUGGGGCUUCAAGGCCAUGAAGGAAGACAAGUUGAAGAGGCCGCUCUCAGACAUUGAGUCGUGGAAGCUGGCCUGCGAGCGGAGUGAUCGCGAGGAUGGCGAGAGCCAAUACUACGGCAAGACCGAGGAGCACCUGGAGUCUUACACUCAGAACUAUCAGAAGUUGCAUCCGGAUGUUCCUGUUCCUGAGGUCGCCCAGUCUCAGAUCGACGACGCGGCGGUGGUGGCCAUCCAGGGGAAGUCACAUGGCCGGUAUCCGUGUUUCGAUGGCUUGAUGACUCCUUCGAUCUCGUACACACGGCUUCGGGCUACCAACCAGAGCCAGUUAGAGAGUACGAUGUCGAUGAUGAUAGCCGUGCAUGUGGCCGUCGUGCCAUACUUUUAUGUUCAUGAAUGUUUCAUGUCUUGCACUACUUAUAUGUUCAUGAACUUUCGCCGGUGAUGAUCUUUAGAUGAUGAACUUGACUAUGUUUAAAUGAUGAUGAUGAACUUGAGUAUGUUUAGAUGAUGAACUGUCAUAUUUCUGCAUAAUCCCAUAUUAUUCUGCUUUGAAA